rnacentral:rRNA from 1 species
AUUCCAGCUCCAAUAGCGUAUAUUUAAGUUGUUGCAGUUAAAAAGCUCGUAGUUGGAUUUCGGGUGUCACUUGCCGGUCCGCCGUUUCGGUGUGCACUGGCGGGCGUCAUCUUUCUGUCGAGGACGCGCUCCUGUCCUUUACUGGGUGGGACGCGGAGUCGGCGAGGUUACUUUGAAAAAAUUAGAGUGUUCAAAGCGGGCUUACGCUUGAAUAUAUUAGCAUGGAAUAACACUAUAGGACUCCUGUCCUAUUUUGUUGGUCUUCGGGACGGGAGUAAUGAUUAAGAGGAACAGUUGGGGGCAUUCGUAUUUCAUUGUCAGAGGUGAAAUUCUUGGAUUUAUGAAAGACGAACUUCUGCGAAAGCAUUUGCCAAGGAUGUUUUCAUUA